GUGCCUUAAACUAAUGAGUAAGGAAAAUAUAGAGCCUUGGUGAUGCUUGGCUCAUUAUAAAGGAGAAUAAUUUAUUUUUAGCAACAACAUGCUGU